AGUGAACGCUGGCGGUAGGCCUAACACAUGCAAGUCGAACGGCAGCACAGUAAGAGCUUGCUCUUACGGGUGGCGAGUGGCGGACGGGUGAGGAAUACAUCGGAAUCUACUUUUUCGUGGGGGAUAACGUAGGGAAACUUACGCUAAUACCGCAUACGACCUACGGGUGAAAGCAGGGGAUCUUCGGACCUUGCGCGAUUGAAUGAGCCGAUGUCGGAUUAGCUAGUUGGCGGGGUAAAGGCCCACCAAGGCGACGAUCCGUAGCUGGUCUGAGAGGAUGAUGAGCGACACUGGAACUGAGACACGGUCCAGACUCCUACGGGAGGCAGCAGUGGGGAAUAUUGGACAAUGGGCGCAAGCCUGAUCCAGCCAUACCGCGUGGGUGAAGAAGGCCUUCGGGUUGUAAAGCCCUUUUGUUGGGAAAGAAAAGCAGCAGGUUAAUACCCCGCUGUUCUGACGGUACCCAAAGAAUAAGCACCGGCUAACUUCGUG
rnacentral:rRNA from 1 species